GGAAGAGAAGUGGCCAAUGAUACCCUCGGUGAACAGAACUGCCCUCCCUGCACAGCAAAGGAAGAGCUCAUGUCACUGUCCAGCAUGUCCUGUCACUCCAUGUCCUUGGCAAAGUCCCUCAACAGCUCUCAAAGGCUCCUGGUUGAAGAGGCCACGGCCCCUGGUCCGUUCCACUCCCUUCACAGGGAUAUGAUGUUCUCACCUAAAUCAGCACUGGAAGUUUUCCUGGUGUAAAUCCCUGUUCCUCCAGGGCACAUGAAUCCCCCUCUGAUGCUGCAGCCUGGAACAUCCCAUUUCCUUAGAGAAGUAUACAAGCGUAAAAGCAGGGAUAGAGCCAGGCAGUGCUGUCCCUGAAGCUCCUAAAAACGCAGGAGCAGGAGGAAGGCAGGAGCAAAGGUGGGACGGAUUGUUCGGAUUUAUGACUACAGACACCACAGAGGUGAUAAAGAGCCAGACAGACUCAUGUGGAGAUGGUACCUGUGUUUGGAACACCUGAACAGCGUCAAUCUGAUCUUUUAUUAAACCCUCUACUGAAUGUAUCCAUUAUUAAUUAACUCUGGACAAGAGCCAUGUCUCUCCCUGAGCGGGUUCUGAGUGCUGUGAAACUCGUGAUGGGGUGAGGAGAGAGGUGAGAACUCGGUUGCUGCCUGUUCGUGCUUGGCUCCAGGCUCUGUCCUCACACCAAAGCCAGGCUUGCAUUUGGGAAUUGCUGUCACAGAGCAAGGGGUCCGUAUGGAUGCUCUCUGCCUGCUCCAGGCUCUGGAAUGCCCCUAAGCCAAGGCCCCAGCAUGCCGGAACAAGGAUUUUGGCUCUUUUAUUCGUUAUUGCUCUCUUUGUCAGACUGCAGCCCCUCACAGGCAGGACUUGUUUAUGUUCCAUUUUGUAUUUAUUUAUUCUCAUGUUCAAUGCUAAUAACGGGGAGCUUGAGGACAGACUGUUGGUUCCUAUUCCCUACUCACAUUUCAAUGUCUCCUCUUAGGCGAUAUCUAAAUUAAUUCUUUAUUCUUUAUCCAGCCAUGAUCACGGAUGUUUCAUGGAGGAAAUCCUGGAGCAGUGACCUGCGUCCUUUCUAAAUCAAUGAGAAAACUCCCAGAGAAUGAAACCUAAUCUCUACAUAGACUCCCUCCUUAGUCUUAACCACAAUUAGGGGUUGAUUUACAGCCUGAAGGCUGAGGUGUUUCACCUCCUUGUGUGGCUGCUCUGAACACAUCCUUGCUCCUUGCACAGGAAAGUUUGACAGAUGCAAAAUUCAGGAUUUUAAAAAUUGAAAUAUCUUAAAAUCUUUGUACAGUUAGGGUGGGGUUUUUUUCAUACUUGCCACUUACGUCCUCUUAUAAUACACAAACACUUCUAGAACACAGAUACUCAGAAUUUUUAACUAAAUUACAUGAGCAUAAAUAUUUUUGUUACUCCAUUGGAACAUGAGGGCUUGCCACAGAUCUUUAGCACUGAAGCACAGUUUUGCAGGCAGCUCCUAGGAAGGGUGUGCAAGAAAGUCUUGUCUCUAAAUCUACAUUUGAGAUGGGAAUUUCCCUUUUGUUUUGUGUAGCAGAAGAAACUGAGGGUAUCAAUCAAGGAAACUGAGGAAAUCAAUCACCUACUGCUCAGACCCACCUCCAGAGAAGUCUGGAGUCCCACUGAAAAGAAACAGAAAAUUAAACUAAUCCACAAAAUCGAGAAGAUGCUCCAGUUCAAUGCAUGAACUGGGCUUUUUCCUUUUACCUGAAAGGUCUUUGGCAGGACCGAAGUGCAGCCCCAGGUCAGUUACGACUGUUCUUCCAGCAGCUCGGUCCUGAACGGGUUCCUGCAGGACAGGUGUGGAGCAGAGCGGCUCCUGUGCACACCCUGACUUGAGGCAGAUGCUGAUGUGUUUGGGCAAAGACACACAGGACACCUCUAGCAGGAUCAUAAAGUGAAGCACAACAUCCUCUGGACUAGACUCCUGUUUUCAUUCUUAGGUCAAGCUUCUCUGUGUGAUUUCUACAGAAAAUAAUUGAUACUAAAUGGGAGAAAACCUUCCCUGAAGUGUUUUUGUUGUCGUGUGACCCAGCAUUGCAGAAAAAAGUGCUGUUUGAUGGAGGCCUGUUUGAUGGAGGAGGUUUCACAGCAGCAACAACGUUGUGUGGGGUGGGACAGACACACGGAGCUGCCACUCUGUGCCGUGGGACAAGGUCUGUGCUCUUCCCUCGGGAACAUCCCCGGGAGAGCGCCGGCAGCGGCUGUGAGGAGUCAGUGUCUGCUGGGAUUUACAACUCCAAGCGAUGCUGGUGGCUCGUCCCAUUCUGGAGCCUGGAAAUACAGAAGGAAAUGUUGUUUUCUGGAGGAGCAGCUCAGGCCUGCAGGCUGGGAUCAUGUGCCUGUCAGCACGGAGCAGAUGCUGUGUUUGAAGGAGGGAGGCACCGCGCUGAGCUGUGACGCCUGUACAUGUGAUUCACAGAAGGCACAGUUAAGGUGGAUGUAAAUCCCCUCAUCCUGCCUGAAGGAUUCACAGCUAUGAAAAACAACGAACAAAUCCAGCAGCACCUGGCUGCUCCAGCAGAGACUGCCCCAUGGACACCAGAGUGACCCCUCUGCCUCCAAAGGCAUUUUCCAUCAUGUGGAUGGACAGCAGAGCCAGCUGGGGCUGACAGAGGAUGCCUUUCAGUGACACCAUCCCCAUCAUCUCCACAAUUGUUCAGAUUGCUGUUAGUACCUCAAGCAGUGAUGCUCUAUCCCUACAGACAGCAAACCGAAUGAAUUUGGCUUUUCUGGCUGUUUUCCCUCCCUGGCUUGUUUUUAAUGUGCUUGAGGCCAUUCACGGAAUGUGCUGAGGGCAAGAGCUGCUUCAAUCGCGGCGCCUGUGCUGCUGCUGCCUCUGAGCCAAUAUAAAAGUCAUCUUCCUCGUGUCCUUUUACAUCUUGUAGCUUGUGAAUCUCCACAGCACUGCUUUAGAGAACAGCAUAUUCUUUGCCUUUGUAUUGUCAAUGCUGAGACGCCUCAUUCUGCUUCAGGGGGUUUUGCCAGGGGCCUCUCCAGGGAGGUAUUUCCACUCUUGUUCCAGCAAACCACACCAGCAACAGCUGGAGAAUGAAAGUCUGAACUCAGAGGGAGGACCACAGCAGCAGCAAAAUAUAACUUAUCCCAGUUCCUAGUGAUAUCACCUAAAGGAUUAAACUUUGCUUAAUUCUGCUAAAAUCCUAGUGGUUACCAAAAGACUGUGGUUAUAUUUGGUCCCAGGUUGGAUCCAGUGCUCCCGGGCAGGGGCAUGGAUCUGCUGGCAAAUGUGGAUGGAGCACAGCUCAGGGCGGGCACAGGGCCAGAGAACUGCUUCCCAAAGAUUCUCUUACACCCUGAGUAUUAACUGUGCUUUCAAAUUUGAGGGGAAGAGAACCAUGAGAUACAUUUGGGUUUGUUUUGUAAUUUUUAAUCCUCUUUUUCUCUUACACUUGUCCUUAUCCACCUUCUGUGAGGGUCUUAAGAUAGCACCUAUGCCCUGAGAUGGUACAGCUGUGAGGAGUAUGGAAGAGAAACAUCUUGGAAGGCUUAAAGAGAAUGACCAUGUGAUAAUGUUGUCCUGCUUCUAAUUACAACACUGUGUAUCUGCACACUUAGCUGUGUUCUGAAGUGCUCUGCCACCAGACCUGUGCCUGCUGAGCAGCACUGAGCAGGGCUGAUUUAAAGGUAUUUACUUAAGCAAGUUACUUGUGUGCAAGCACACUUUGGGGGAUAGUUACUCACAAGGCUUUCACAGGACCCUAAAGGCUGCAGUCACUCGAAUCCUGUUGAAAUUCAGUAGCAGUUGGUUCCUUCUGUGUUUGAAUUCAAAUAAAGCUUGAACUUGUCUUUA